ACAGCAGCCUCCGCGGUAAUACGGAGGGUGCAAGCGUUAAUCGGAAUUACUGGGCGUAAAGCGCACGCAGGCGGUCUGACAAGUCAGAUGUGAAAUCCCCGGGCUUAACCUGGGAACUGCAUUUGAAACUGUCAGGCUGGAGUCUUGUAGAGGGGGGUAGAAUUCCAGGCGUAGCGGUGAAAUGCGUAGAGAUCUGGAGGAAUACCGGUGGCGAAGGCGGCCCCCUGGACAAAGACUGACGCUCAGGUGCGAAAGCGUGGGGAGCAAACAGGAUUAGAUACCCGCGUAGUCCCUGUCUCUUAUAC
rnacentral:rRNA from 1 species